CGGUAAUUCCAGCUCCAAUAGCGUAUACUAAAGUUGUUGCAGUUAAAAAGCUCGUAGUUGGAUUUCUGCGGGGACGGAGCGGCCGGAUGCAACUUGCGUCUCGAGCUAGCGCUUUCCCCGCAUCCUGCCGCGAACCGUGCUACCAUUAGCUUGGUGGCGCUGGGGAUCGGCUCGAUUACUUUGAGAAAAAUAGAGUGUUCAAAGCAGGCCACACGCCUUGAAUAAGUUAGCAUGGAAUAAUGACUAAGGACUUUGGUUCUUUUCGUUGGUGUUCGGGACUGAAGUAAUGAUUGAUAGGGACAGUUGGAGCGGUCUGUAUUCCAAAGCGAGAGGUGAAAUUCUUAGACCUUCGGAAGACAAACAGCUGCGAAAGCGUUCCGCAAGGAUGUUCCCUUUGACCAAGAACGAAAGUUGGGGGAUCGAAGACGAUCAGAUACCGUCGUAGUCUCAACUAUAAACUAUACCAGCUAGGGAUCGGCCAACGUUUAAUUAUUCGACUUGGUCGGCACCUUAUGAGAAAUCAAAGCAUCUGGGUUCCGGGGGGAGUAUGGUCGCAAGGCUGAAACUUAAAGGAAUUGACGGAAGGGCACCACCAGGCGUGGAGCCUGUGGCUUAAUUUGACUCAACACGGGAAAACUUACCAGGUCCAGACAUAGGAAGGAUUGACAGAUUGAUAGCUCUUUCUUGAUUCUGUGGGUGGUGGUGCAUGGCCGUUUUUAGUCGGUGAAGUGAUUUGUCUGCUUAAUUGCGUUAACGGACGAGACCCCAGCCUGCUAAAUAGCGCGGCCGAGCUUUGCUCGGUGCGAGCUUCUUAGAGGGACCAUGAUGCGCGAUAGCACAAGGAAGUUUGGGGCAACAACAGGUCUGUGAUGCCCUUAGAUGUUCUGGGCCGCACACGGGCUACACUGGCGCCUGCAACGAGCAUAUCAGCUGGCCCGAGAGGGUCUUGGCUAAUCUUUGGAACCGGCGCCGUGCUUGGGAUUGACCAUUGCAAUUGUUGGUCAUGCAACGAGGAAUGCCUUGUAAACGCGAGUCAUCAGCUCGCAUUGAAUACGUCCCUGCCCUUUGUACACACCGCCCGUCGCUCCUACCGAUGAAUGUUCCGAUGAAAUUUUCGGAGAGCGCCGGAGAACGGGGCUCUGCCCUGCAGAACUGGAGGCUCAAAGUCACUUAAAUCUGAACAUUUCGAGGAAGGAGAAGUCGUAACAAGGUAACC
rnacentral:rRNA from 1 species